rnacentral:piRNA from 1 species
UCCGGGUCCUUGCGUGUUGUGAGCUC